CUUCGACAUGGCUCUCCCGGCGCUGCCGCAGCGUCUGCUUGGUUGCUAAGAGACGCCCGCGGCCUUCUGCUCUACACCGGAAGAAAGAAAAGAGACCUGAAACAACUUCCGCUCUUUCGCUCUCGCUCGCUCUGACACCAACCUACCCACACAGACAGACAGACAGACAGAGACUCCAGCAAACUCGAGACUGCAGUUUUGUCCCAAGAAGCUGAAAAACAUCACAGAAGGCGGCAUUGGCAACGCGAUUUUGGUGUGAAUGCCAGGGCCGAAAAGAAGUGACAAGAAAACCACCCUAGCUGGACACGUCCACAAAGUUAGCAGCAAUAGAAGCCGACGGGACCUGAAGCCGAGUGCGUUGCUCUGCACUGCCGCCGCUUCCAAAGCGAAGCAGAGAGCUUUGAACCGAAUAAGUGACAAAGAUGGAAUGAUAUCGCAUUACUUCAAAAGGAAUUGUGACACAUUUCGCCUAAUUUCUGUUCAAUUUGCCAGCGUUUACAUCUUCAGCGAGGGAUGAAAAUGCAGAUGUGUGUUUGUAAAGAGUGCAAUAAGCCUGAGUUUUUGUUUUUUUGCAGACACUUGGUUGAAUGAGGUUUAAUCCCAUUAGGGUACUUUUCAGGCAUGUAUUUGUAGGAUGCAUUGUGUUGCUGAGUUUUUCACAUCAUCAUUAAAUUUAGGAUUAUGUCUACAGUAUGUGAAA